rnacentral:lncRNA from 1 species
GAAGUAUGGAUUCAUUGCCAGGAGCUGGUGAUUUCCUAAGCAGAGGUCGCUAACUACAAGAAAUGUUACACUCGGACAAGUCCUGCGCUUGGGGAUCCUCUGUACGCCCGUUCACUGGUGCAGGUCUUCUGAACAAAUGCCUCCUGAGGAUUUCUGUGCCUGGAAAAUAUCUGUUAACAGACUGCUUUUACACCUACGCUUGCACCCUCACGACAUGCUCUCUCUCUCUCCCUCUCCUCUUUUCUCUCUUCUCUCCCUUCUCUCCUCUCUCUUAUCUCUCUCUUCUCUCUCUCGUACACAUACUCUGGAA